UAUGUGUUCACUGCCAUUCAGCAGGCUGGAGAAGUGUUCCCUCCAUAAUCUAAGUAUGCUCUGGGUAUCGGUGGCUAGAUCACCUUUGGGGGUUCUACAGGAGUAUGCUCCGGUCUUGAAACCUUCUGUAAGCCGCCGCAUUUUUUCGUAGAAUUUUCGAGCACUACCCCUGUCGGCCAGCUUAUCAAGCUGUUCGUACUCACGCAUUUCGGCCUCUUUCUUCUUCUGUCUACAAAUGCGUCUCGCUUCCCUCUUCAACUAUCGGUAUCUAUCCCAUCCCGCACGUGUUGUGGUCGAUCGUAACGUGGCGAGGUAGGCAGCCUGUUUUCCCUCCACUGCGACACGGCACUCCUCGUCGUACCAGCUGUUCUUUUGCACUUUCCGAAAACCAAUGGUUUCGGUUGCAGCUGUACGUAAGGAGUUUGAAAUGCCGUCCCACAGUUCUCUUAUACCGAGUUGUUGAUGAGUGCUCUCAGAGAGCAGGAGUGCAAGCCGAGUGGAGAAUCUUUCGGCUGUCUGUUGUGAUUGCAGCUUCUCGACGUCGAACCUUCCUUGUGUUUGUUGGCGUGCGUUUUUUGCUGCACAGAGGCGGGUGCGAAUUUUGGCUGCAACAAUAUAGUGGUCCGAGUCGAUGUUAGGACCUCGGAGCGCACGCACAUCUAAAACACUGGAGACGUGUCUUCCGUCUAUCACAACAUGAUCGAUCUGGUUGGUGGUUUUUCGAUCCGGAGACAGCCAGGUAGCUUGAUGUAUCUUCUUAUGCUGGAAUCUAAUACUACAGAUAACCAUAUUUCGGGCCCCGACGAAGUCGAUCAGCCUCAACCCAUUUGGGUAUGUUUCGUCGUGGAGGCUGAAUUUACCGACCGUAGUGCCAAAGAUACCUUCUUUGCCCACCCUGGCGUUAAAGUCGCCAAGCACGAUUUUGACAUCGUGGCGGGGGCAUCUCUCAUAAGUGCGCUCCAAGCACUCAUAAAAGGCAUCUUUGGUCACAUCGUCCUUCUCUUCCGUCGGGGCGUGGGCGCAAAUCAGCGAUAUGUUGAAAAACCUCGCUUUGAUGCGGAUUGUGGCUAGACGUUCAUUCUCCGGGCUGAAUGAUAGUACUCGGCGACGGAGUCUCUCUCCCACCACGAAUCCAACACCAAACUUGCGCUCCUUUAUAUGACCACUGUAGUAAAUGUCACAAGGACCUACUUGUCUCUGUCCUUGUCCCGUCCAUCGCAUUUCUUGGACGGCGGUGAUGUCAGCCUUUAUUUUCACGAGGACAUCAACCAGCUGGGCGGCGGCACCUUCCCAAUUAAGGGACCGGACAUUCCAGGUGCAUGCCCUUUAUUCGUAGUCCUUAUUUCGUUGUGUGUCGUGUGAAGUUAGUUUGCAAAAUUUUGCUAAGAAAUGCCGACAUCUCUCUCUCUCUCUCUUUGAUGCUUCCUUUAGAAUUUAUGAAUUUAUUAUUGCGCCUAUUGCUUACUUUAAGCAAUCCAGCUUACUGCUUUAAGAAGCCGAAGGAGUAUUGCCGGAAUAUUUACAUUAAAUAUUAUACUGAAAUACUGAGAUAAUAUUCUCUUUUUGGUGUGUGUUUGCUAACACGAAGGUACUAAGCAUAUGUAGGCGAUAUAAUACCAAUUUUUUGUUUUUUAAUAUCGGUUUUUAAUUUAUACCGUAUAUAGAUAUAUGAUAUCCGUUUUAAUAAAAUAUUGCUUAAACGGUUUUAUAUGCAACCUCAGUUACUAGCAUUCAUUCAGAUAUACAUAAAAAUUAAAACCAAAAAAUCGAAUCAAUACAACUCACCUUGAUUUCCCUCUGGGAGUUUUGGGUUAUACCGAUCAGAAGUGAGUGUGUUGUCCAAUUCCUCCUCUUCGUUGAAUGUCAGCUUGUUAUUCCACUUUCUAUUAUCUGGUUUUCUUUUAUUUUUGAUCCUUGUUAGAAUUCGCGCACGUAUAAUUUGUUGUAAGUGUGUUUGUUUUUCUUUCACUUGCGUAUAUAUCUUUUUUUAAUUUGAAUUUGUAAACUCACGACCCACAACACUGAACGUAUUUUGUAUUUUCACAAUACUUGAUUUUAUGUUUUGUCGCACAGUAAAUUAGAUUUAAUUAUUAUUUUUUUUGUUUAAGUUUUCGGUCACUUUUCAACGUAUUUUUUUUUUUUUUUUUUUUUUUUUUAAUUUUAUGUUACUUUCCGAUAGUGCCUUUCCUUUAGGCUCGAAGGGCCAUGUUUUGUGUUAUAUAUCACCUUUUCCGCAAUCACCGUGUAUUUUUACCAAAAUUGAUAUUAAAAUUCAAGGUGCUAUCAACUUUAGAAUUUAUUCACUCACAAAAAGUAUAAAAUAUAUUUGGAUUUAAUACAAAAGAAUCACAGGUAAAAAAUAGCCAAAGCAAUCGUGUGUGGAUCGGACCGAUGUCGUAGCGCCAGAGUGAUUUCCGAUCAUAUUCGGACCGACCGUCCUUUUGUUAUUUUGGCUUGGCGAAAAGUAUAGGUGUUAGUGUGUGCUGCUCUCUUGAUUGAUGAGUGUGUGACGUCAUUGUGUGAGUGUUAGAACGUCGUGUAGAAUGUAAGUAACAAAUGAUGAUGUGAGGAGUGGAGAAUGUGACGUACCAAUGUUGUAUAUUUAGAUCAGUGGUCGGCAUUUCAUAGCAAAAUUUUGCAAACUAAAUUCACACGUACGCUUACGCUCUAUCGUUCAGUCGUUGUCGAGACAGCAACGAAUUAACAUCACGUAAGACUAUAGCGCAAAACCAAAUAUGGCCUGCGAGAAAUACUUUAUGAUUCUAAAUGCCUUGCAUUGCAUGGCAGCCUUUUAUGUUCCAAGUCUUUUAAAGAUAAUAGGGAAUAUAUCCUUAAAAGUCAUUUAGUUUUAUAUACUAUAUUUUAAAUUUUGCUUAUAAAAUUUGUUUAAUUUAAAUUCCAAUUUCUCACUGGGCUACUGUUUUUUCGUGCUCACCAACACAGUGACAGAUCCUCUCAUGCCGACCACUGAUUUAGAUAU